UAAUUGAAGAGUUUGAUCAUGGCUCAGAUUGAACGCUGGCGGCAGGCCUAACACAUGCAAGUC
rnacentral:rRNA from 3 species